GAUGAACGCUGGCGGCGUGCUUAACACAUGCAAGUCGAACGAGAAGUGAAGACGGAAACCUUCGGGCGGAAGGCUUUAUUUCGAGUGGCGGACGGGUGAGUAACGCGUGGGUAACCUGCCUCAUACAGGGGGAUAACAGUUGGAAACGACUGUUAAUACCGCAUAAGACCACAGCACCGCAUGGUGCGGGGGUAAAAACUCCGGUAGUAUGAGAUGGACCCGCGUUCGAUUAGCCAGUUGGCGGGGUAACGGCCCACCAAAGCGACGAUCGAUAGCCGAUCUGAGAGGAUGACCGGCCACAUUGGGACUGAGACACGGCCCAAACUCCUACGGGAGGCAGCAGUGGGGAAUAUUGCACAAUGGGGGAAACCCUGAUGCAGCGACGCCGCGUGAGUGAAGAAGUAUUUCGGUAUGUAAAGCUCUAUCAGCAGGGAAGAAAAUGACGGUACCUGAGUAAGAAGCCCCGGCUAACUACGUG
rnacentral:rRNA from 1 species